rnacentral:tRNA from 1 species
GGGAAUUAGCUCAGCUGGGAGAGCGCGGGCUUUGCAAGCCUGAGGUCAGGGGUUCGAUUCCCCUAUUCUCC